AGAGGCUGGUGCUAUCCGGGCAUUCUUCUGGGAUUAUGUCUCCUAGAAAUGACGGGAAGACCUCCCCCUUGAUACCUCCACAAUAUGGAUGCCUACACAAGACCUGAACAGUAACACCAACAGACAUGCUGUUGUGAAAGAGGAGACAUCUCAUGGGGUUCCUAGACAAAGAACGACAGUGGCAUUUCCAGAAUCGGUGCUUGGGAAAUCACUGUAAAAUCACUGAAGGUCAACUAUAGACACCUGGGACCCACUGGGGAGGCUGUUCUGCCGUUGUAGCAUCUCGCGCUGCAGAUCGGGUUGAUGGAUGUCUAGGCUGAUUCCAUUCUCUAGCUAUUGUGAAUAGAGUGAGCAUGAGCAUCGGUGAGCCAGCAUCUCCAUAGUUAUCUCCUUUUCAUCCCCACGUCAACUACCUGACCAGAGAAAGAGCCUGAGCUGACUGCGUGGGGUGUUCAGAAGAGACCUGCAGGCCCCCGGUCAUAACCGAAGCAGUCAAGGAUGAAGUACAGCCCAAGGGUCAGUCCAGGAUUGAAGACAAGCGAAGGCAGAACCUCAGAUACGAAGUCACAUCACAGUCAAGAUCAAGAGCUGUUGGAAACCAAUAGACUCAUGCUGCCUACCUGCUUCUAGCUUCCCUCUGCCUUUCUCCUGUCUCAGAGCACAGAACCCCCUCCUAGGGAAUGGCGCUACCCGCAGUGUGCUGGGUCUUCCUACCUUAACUAACAAUCAAGACAGUCACCCAUAGACAGACACACAGGCAAACGUGAUCUAAGUAAUCCCUUUGUUGAGAGUUUCUUCUCAGGUGAAUCUGUGCUUUGACAAGUUGACAUUUAAAAACUAUCCAUCACACACAUGAAUAAAGAACAUAAAAUGUUUCUGUUGAUCCUGAAGAGUGAAGAGCUGAGAAAGAACUGUUUCUGUGACAAGAAAUGAUGGACCAUUGAGGCCAAGAGCUUGGGAGACAUCCCCUGGGAAGAAUGAGUGAGUCCCCUAGGAAGUGUGAGGAUGGAGUCACUGUCAUCUAAGAGUUAGCUAGAGUGGCUGGUCAGCAAGUCCCCAGGACCCCCCUUUCUCUGUUUCCCACUUCUGAGAGAACAAGUGUACACCAACCACAACCACCACAGCCAACUUUUUGCUUGGAUACUGGGAAUCUGAGCUCAUGCUUGUACAGCAUGCACUGAGCCACCUCUCAGCCUCUUCGUACUGAAUUUUAGUGAGUGAUAUUUUACAUCUAUUGAGAAGACUGCAGUCUUUAUCUGUUGUUCUGAUACAUUGUUAUACUUAUUGAUUUGCGUAUGUGUAACCAUCCUUGCAUGCCUCCAAAGACACCAACUUGACCACGAUGAAAGACAUUUUUAUACACUAUUUAGUUUGAUUUGCAAGUAUUUUGCUUGAGAAAUUUUGAACCAAUGCUCAUCAGGGAUAUUGGUAUACAGUUUGUUGUUGUGUCCUUGUCUCGUUUUAGUAAAAGGGUGAUGCUGGCCUCAGAAGGAAUUUGGAAGAGUUCCUCUUGUCUCAAUUUUGUGGGAUGGUUUGAGAAAAACUGGGAUCGCUUCUUUAAAAAAUUGGCAAAAUCCAGUAGGGAAAGCUGGUGCUGU